UAUAAGUAUAAUAAUUAUUAAGUAAAAAUCUACAAUAAUUAAAUAUCAUAUAUUUUCGAUUCUAAGAGGCACUUUCUUUUACCCAUUUUUGUCCUGAAUAGGGUUGCAUCUUUUAAUCGAUGUUAUCUUAUAUUCACAGUCCAAAACAACAAUCAGCAGCUGUCGCGAGUAGAUCAACUGGUGCACCCAUUCGAGUUUUCGGAUAUACUGCUCAAUGUUUACAUCAGUUUAACAUUUAAACGAAUAGUUACGUAUGUGCAGGAGAUCAUGCAGGAGUCACCAUGGCUCUUUUAUAGCAACCGCCAAUCCAUUUGCCAAACACAUUAUUUAUUCGCCAAAAUAGAAAGAUAUUCGCCAGAAUCUUCCAAGUUUUUACACAAAUGGAAAAAGUAAAAUGAUUUAUCCAGGUUGUCUGGAAUUCGACUGAUGAUUAUGCGGAUAGAAUAAUGAAAACGUGCAUGAAAAAGUUAAUAAAGUGAAG